ensembl:lncRNA
AGAACGCACUCAGGCUCUACAAACCUUGUACCUCCUACAGCAGGGCCGUGACUCUGGCAGCAGUGAGCCGCCCCCAGGAGGUCAGCAUUUCCCGCCGCUGUGCUCACCGAGCCCGCCGUGGUCAGGAGCAGGAAGUCAGCGAGGCGUCACAGAGAAGUUCGUUAACCGAGCCGCUGAAACUUGCGAGCGGCCUGUCUGAGCCUGGCCAAAGGUUACUCUGCCUCCUGAAAACUCAUCUAAUCUGCCUUCAUCUGCUGCGGACUUUCUGUUGCGUAUAAAACAGGAAGCUAUGGCCACAGUGAAAUCCAGCUAAAAUGUCUUUCAUUUUCUUUUGUGCUUGUUUCACUCGGCUGAUCUACUGUUUAAUUGUUUUUAUUAUGGUGCAUAGCACUUUGGUAAUCCAAGAUCUGCCGGAGCAUUCAGGCUUUGAUAAUAUGUUUGUGACCACCAGGAGUUGUUGAGAACAUCAGUUCAGAACACUUCUGUUUGUUUCGCUACAGCCCUGCUAGCACACUGUUCUGAGAAGAACACACCUUCUGAAAGUAUUCGAGAACACGCAGUAAGAAAAAGGAACAUUCCUGCUGCCAAAGGGUGCUAAUUUUAAACACGGCUUGAAAAUGAUCUUACUCAUGAUACUGACACAAGAAAAUAACCUUUUUUUUUCUUUUUUUUGGUGGUGUGGUGUGGGGUUUUUUUGUUUUGUUGUGUUUUUUCUUUAGUGGAAACUCUGAGAACCUGAAUGCAGACUUCUCUUCAAACCCACCCGGAAGAAGCACCAGUUUGCUAAGUCCUCUGCUCAAGUGCAUGCAGCGAGGCUCUCUCUUUCUCUUUCUAUCAUGUUUCCAAAGUGCCUCCCUCUCACCGGUUACCAGGCAACAGAACAAUAUUGCUCUGCAUGCGCAUCCAGCAAUAACUGGCAUUCUACUGUAGUUUCGCAGUUUCUCAGAGCAAAUAAAGAUGUCCUGAAAUACUGUCUUGUGUGACGAGCAGCUACUGCCCAGAAGACAUUUAAACAUUUAAAUGUUUAAAAGGCCAAUUUCUUUUGUCAGAGAAAUUCAGAGAAUGAAAAUAACCUUUGUCUAAUGGAGCAGCUCCCAUCCUAAGUGAACUUAUAAGGUGAAAAUAGACCUCACUGCAGAAAAAAAAAAGCUGCUUCAGUUCUUAUUUCAAACAAUUAACAGCCUCUACAGUAUUCAAAUAAACCUUUUUCUUAAAUUCAAGGCAAAAGUGAACCAGUGGCUGAAGAGUUAAAAUAUUUUUUGUGUGCUUUGAAAAUUAAAUUCUGCCUCUAUGAUGAAGUUCUCUUUUAUUCCUAUUUAGUUUGUUGUUCUGAUGUCAAUAAAACAGUCAGAAAAGU